CAAGCAAACAGUCAUGCCUGAGUUCUCACUUUCCUGCAAACUUUACUUGAGAACCUCAGAGAUGAGAGUUGCUUUAGAAGCCUUCCUAGAGAAGGAAUAUGGAGAAGGCACCUGUAGCCCUGUGAGAUCAGUUAUCUGUUUAUAUUUAAAUGAAUCAUUAGGUCCAGCCAUGGAAGUGGAUUUAAUGAAAUACUGUCGACCAAUGAAUGAAGAAAUAUAAGUACUUUUUCAUCUUCUUAUUUUGAGAGAAAAAAAUCAUAUUUUCUGUAAUUUAUAAACCAUCAGAUGAAGUUUUAUUUUACCACAUAAACGCAACUAUGAAGGUUUUCGGGCCUCUUCCAGCAUCUCCUAGUGCUUUCCAAAGAUGUUCCUGACAGUCUGAGAGCAAGGUAUCAUGUAUCAUUCUUUCCACCAACAGAUGGAGAAACUGAAGCAUGAAGAGGUGACGCGAGGUCACCGAGGGAGCAGGUGAUGGACUGGCUUCUGGUCUCUUGCUCCAAACCCUGCUCCAAUUUGUCUUUCUUAUAAACAGCCAUUAAUAACUUUAUCUCCAGGCUGAAUGCUGCCAACCAGGACCCACAACGUGCUGAGCAUUUGUAUGCAAAUGAGCUCUCCACCAUCCUGGGGAGAACACAGGGUGCUGAACAGGAAUGGAGGAAGGAGAAAUAAUUGUUACUACUGGAGUCUAAAACGCCAUCCAAACCCAGACUCACAGUGAAAUUCCAGAAAUGAGGAAGUAAUGAGUGUUAAAUUCAAUAUCAUCAGUCAAUCCACUACUAACAGAUCAAGAUCCUAUAAACCUAAUGGCAGGACUUCCUAAACAUUUACUUUAUUUUUAUAUAUAUAUUUUUUGAGACGGAGUCUCAGUCUGCUCCCCAGGCUGGAGUGCAAUGGCAUGAUCUCGGCUCACUGCAACUUCUACCUCCCGGGUUCAGGUUCAAGCGAUUCUCCUGCCUCGGCCUCCCAAGUAGCUGGCACUACAGGCAUGUGCCACCACACCCAGCUAAUGUUUGUAUUUUUAGUAGAGACGGGGUUUCACUAUGUUGGCCAGGCUGUUCUCAAACUCCUGACCUUGUGAUCCACCUGCUUCAGCCUCCCAAAGUGCUGGGAUUACAGGCGUGAGCCACCGCACCGAGCCACAUUUACUUUAUUUAAAAAUCUAUUUUUGACACUAAGAGAUUUUCCUUCCUUAAUAUCAGAACUGUGCCAAGAAUUAGAUGGAUGGCAAAAUAAUUAAAAUUUCAUGUUAAUGUUCAUAUGUUGUGAUCAUGCGUAUCACCAUGUAUAAGUCAACCAAAUGCUUAGGUUGAUGGAACAUUCCUAUUUAAAAAUUAAAGUUGUGACCCAUUUUCCUUCACAUAUUGUCGGCUCAAAUAUGUACCUGUUCCCUUUAGGCUUUCAGCCCGACUCAGCCACUAGCUUUGUGACCUUCGGCAAAGGCCCUGAACCUCAAUCUCCUACUCUGCAAAUGGGAGCAGUCAGGUUUGUCUCAGAUUUUUUGCAAAGGCUAAUUGACUUCAUGUUUGUAAAAGUAUUGGAAGCAACCCCUGGCACGUAGACAGUGCUUAGUGAAUACCAUUUCCUUUUUCCCCCUUUGAAUAUGUUUGUUAUGAAAUGCUUGAGUUUUUGGAGCCAAGGUAUACUUUUAUAUACCUUGCUCACAAUUCUAUAAGGUAGCUAAGGAAGGUACAAUUCUAUAAGGUAGCUAAGGAAGGUGCAAUUAUGCCUUUCAUAUAUAGAAGAAAACUCUGUCUCUGAGAGGUAAUUUGCUCAGAGUCAGGCUGCAAAUUGGUGCAGAACUAGAAGCCUGGCACCCUAAUUCCUAGUCCUGUGAUCUUUCCAUUAACUUUUUAUUGCCACCAUUGCCUCCGCCUCAAUGAAAGCUCCUGUUGUAGCCCACCCCAAACCAAUUCCAGCUCCCAGGAUGUGGCUCCUCGGUGCCUCUUUCCACCCCUCCCUGCACUGUUGCCCUAGCUUCAACUCCAUCCCAUUUUUCAGUGACUUCCCUCUACCUCUACCUGGGUCUGGAUGCUCAGAGACUAAUCUACAUAGUGUAUGAGUCCAAAUGACUUUGGGAGGAAGGUUCUUUUAAACAAAAGAGGUUGAAUUAGAUACCACCAUACAUAUUGUGUUGUUAAAUAUCUACAGCAUGAUAAAAUCAUUCCAAAUGUCACCAAUCCCUGGGGAGUUUAUUAAUAAUUAAGCAUUUUUAGUUCACUUAGAAAUGCAGAUUCCAUUUAACAACAGAAUGUACACUAAAUAUGUCCAUUAUAUUGCAGCUUGCAGCAGAAUAUGUUAGAGAUCUCAGCUGGGUUUCUCCAGGACAGAUGACAAAGUUAAUGCAGGUAUCAGUCUUUCCUAAAGGUGGCAGAGGAGCCAAAAGCAGCAUCCUGGAUUGGUUUAUAGGGUCUGCAUUUAUUAGGAGUGUUUAUUAGGAUGUCUAAUAAUGGAAAAGACAACUUGGCAAGGGUAGGAGUGGAUUGGAGGAGAGCCGGGAGAAGCCCAAAGGAAAUGGGAUGAUCUCGAAAAACAAAAGGAAGGGCAGCAACCCAGGGUCUGUGGUGUGUGAAUCAUUUGUCCACACACUGAUUUUUAAGGUUUUCAAGGAACAGGCAAACAAAGCUAUCAUUUUAUAUGUUCCACUUGCUUGGAAGGCCAUUUACAUUUUUUUUGGCUUAUUCCGGAAAGAUAGUCAUGGUUACACACACACACACACACACACACACACACUACACACACUACACACAUGUACUCCACACACACACACACACACUUCACACACAUGCACACACACACUCACAUAUACACACAUGCACAAGCACUUUUCUUUAAAAUGCAGUUUUAUUUCCUGGGCAAGGACAGAACAGCGAAUAUCAAGAAAGGAAGAAUGGGGAAGAAGGGAAGGGCAGGAAGGAAGGAGUGGAGGGAGGAAGGCAGGCAAGCAAAAAGGCUGGCAACCUUCUUUGUCUCUUCCAUAGAUUUACUGUUUCUUCCUAGGCCCACCAAAAAAGGUUCCUUUUGAAGGUGAUACAGAGGAGGGAGGAAAAGAGAGAGAAAUUGAGAUAAAGAGGAAGUGGGGCGCGGUUGUGGUGAGAUGCAGGGAAAUGAGCUGAUCCAGGCAUUAGUGUUGGAGCUCUCGCUCGCUGUGCAAUGCAGGAUCUUGGGCAUGUUAUUUAACUUCUCUGUCUAGGCCCCUUUCCUACCAGCAGAAGUUUUCAUGAUCUUACAGACUCCCUCUAGCCUUCAUGUUCCAGAAACCUAGGCUUGAAGCAGUGAGAAGGCCCCUUCUUAAUGAUACCUGAAAACUUUGCAAGCUUUUAGCAGAAAAUGACUGUGGAUAAAUACUUCUAUUUCCUCGUUUUCCAAACGGAAACUACAUUGCAAGCUAUGCCACUUCUUUCCUCUCUCACUUAAAGCACCUGCCAAACUAAUAAAAGAGUCAUAAAUUUAGUUGUAAGGGCUCCAACAAAAGAGAAAAUCCCCGCCUACUAGGGCAGCCAGGCUGUCACCAGGAAGUAAAAGCUGCAGCGGAGACUGCUCUUGUGUAGAGUGUAGCCAGUCUGGGUGCUGGAGGGGCAGCAAGGCCGAGAAGCAGCACAGAAUGAACAUGGGCAAAGGACUCAGCUAACACUGCAGUUUCUUAAUUUCCUUCCUGAGAUGAUUGGGGUUCAGGGUCCAGUGAGUACCGCCUCAAAGGGACUUCCCGGUCUGAAAAUGGUGUGUGCAUGUCUGGGGACUCACUCCCCAGGUGUUCUCCAAAACCAACACUUUCUGUUGUUUGAGGAGAGGGCAAGGAGUGUUAUUUAUCGCACAGCUGCCUUGGGAGAAUUAGGGAGGGAGCUGAGCUUCAAAACAGCUUGUGAACUUAGAGACUAGGAAAUGGUGGAGAAAGAUGACUUAAAGCCAAAUAGAUUAAUAAACUCAAUUAUCUGGAUGGU